rnacentral:rRNA from 1 species
AACGCUAGCUACAGGCUUAACACAUGCAAGUCGAGGGGUAACGAAAGGGAAGCUUGCUUUCCUUGUCGACGACCGGCGCACGGGUGAGUAACGCGUAUGCAACUUACCUAUCAGAGGGGGAUAGCCCGGCGAAAGUCGGAUUAAUACCCCAUAAAACAGGGGUCCCGCAUGGGAAUAUUUGUUAAAGAUUCAUCGCUGAUAGAUAGGCAUGCGUUCCAUUAGGCAGUUGGCGGGGUAACGGCCCACCAAACCGACGAUGGAUAGGGGUUCUGAGAGGAAGGUCCCCCACAUUGGUACUGAGACACGGACCAAACUCCUACGGGAGGCAGCAGUGAGGAAUAUUGGUCAAUGGCCGAGAGGCUGAACCAGCCAAGUCGCGUGAAGGAAGAAGGAUCUAUGGUUUGUAAACUUCUUUUAUAGGGGAGUAAAGUGGAGGACGUGUCCUUUUUUGUAUGUACCCUAUGAAUAAGCAUCGGCUAACUCCGUGCCAGCAGCCGCGGUAAUACGGAGGAUGCGAGCGUUAUCCGGAUUUAUUGGGUUUAAAGGGUGCGUAGGUGGUGAUUUAAGUCAGCGGUGAAAGUUUGUGGCUCAACCAUAAAAUUGCCGUUGAAACUGGGUUACUUGAGUGUGUUUGAGGUAGGCGGAAUGCGUGGUGUAGCGGUGAAAUGCAUAGAUAUCACGAAGAACUCCGAUUG